UGGGGAAUUUUGGACAAUGGGGGAAACCCUGAUCCAGCCAUCCCGCGUGUGCGAUGAAGGCCUUCGGGUUGUAAAGCACUUUUGGCAGGAAAGAAACGUAGCGGGUUAAUACCCCGCGAAACUGACGGUACCUGCAGAAUAAGCACCGGCUAACUACGUGCCAGCAGCCGCGGUAAUACGUAGGGAGCAAGCGUUAAUCGGAAUUACUGGGCGUAAAGCGUGCGCAGGCGGUUCGGAAAGAAAGAUGUGAAAUCCCAGAGCUUAACUUUGGAACUGCAUUUUUAACUACCGGGCUAGAGUGUGUCAGAGGGAGGUGGAAUUCCGCGUGUAGCAGUGAAAUGCGUAGAUAUGCGGAGGAA
rnacentral:rRNA from 1 species